rnacentral:lncRNA from 10 species
CAGCAACUCUUAGCCAUGAAUGUAUUUGGAUAGCAUCCAAUUUUAUGAAAGUAUUAUCUUCUGUAUUGUUAUUACAGAAAUAUAAAUACCUUGCUGAAGAUAGCAACAUGUCUGUGCCAUCUGAACCAAGCAGCCCCCAGAGCAGUACGAGAACACGAUCACCAUCUCCAGAUGACAUUCUGGAGCGAGAGCCUCCCAAGUAGCUGGGACUACAGGCGCCUGCCACCACGCCUGGCUAAUUUUUGUAUUUUUAGUAGAGAUGGGGUUUCACCGUGUUAGCCAGGAUGGUCUCGAUCUCCUGACCUCGUGAUCUGCCUGUCGGCCUCCCAAAGUGCUGGGAUUACAGGCGUGAGCCACCACGCCCAGCUGACAGUACACUGUUGAACGGACAUGGCUGUGUUCCAGAAAAAACUUUGGCACUGAAAUUUGAAUUUCAUCUAAUUUUCACUUGCCACAAAGUAUUCUGUUCCCCCACCCCCGAACACUUACAAAUGUAAAAGUAGGCCAUACAGAAAGAAGCAGCCAGCUAGAUUUGGCUCACAGUCUGUAUAUAGUUUACCGACUCCUGCUCUAGCAAGAUGCACAGGUUUAUCUUGUGCAUGUCCUGCCCAGAGCAGAAUCAGCUAUUUCUCCAAGGAUCCCUGGUUCCAUUUAAUAGGAAAUGCCAUUUAGACAUCACAGCACACUUACUAGUGUCUGUAAUUUCUGGGCCUUUGCACUGGACAAAGUUAGGAAGUAGAUACUCUUUUGGAAAGGAGGAGUUUACACAGAUAUUGCCAAUUUAAAAUUGAGAUUAUUGGGGUUUAUUAACUUAUGAUUUUAUAUUUCUAUCUCUUAUUACAGUGAAAAAUUUAGUUCUUAACAUGAUUACAGAUAGGUUAUCUUGAAACUUAUACACAUUAGAUAUCAGUAUGAUUAUCAUUACUACAUAUACUAACUGUGGCUUAAAAUUUCAGUGGUUGUUUUUAGGAUACAUUCUAAGUUGUAUAGGCACAAUUCUCUGUCUUUUAAAAUCAUUUGAAAUCUCUGUAUGGUAUGCCACAAAUUUGAUAGGCUUAGGUUUAUUUUCAUUUGCUUUUGUUUUUUAGGAAUCAUCUUUUUUUCUUAAUAAUACAUUCUUUCAUGUAUGCAUGUAUGUGUGUAUAUGUUGUAUCCUACCUACACACACAAAACCAAACUAUACAUACUUAGAUCGAUAUACUUUUCCUCACUCCUUUUUAUAGGCUCCGCCAUAGUUUAUUCAGUCAGACUUUGAUAUUUGAAUUGUGUCCAGUUUCUGUCUAUUCAUUGGGUACUGAUUAUAAUGGUGUUGUGCAUUAAGUCAUUCUUUAAUUCUUGGCCACUGUGUUUUACGAUAGUU